rnacentral:tRNA from 1 species
GCUCCUGUCGUCUAGUCCGGUCAAGGAUUCCGGCCUCUCGAGUCGGAGAUCCCGGGUUCGAAUCCCGGCGGGAGCACCA